rnacentral:misc_RNA from 1 species
GACUUGACAGCAUCAAACUUCUUUAAAGAAGUUCUAUUGGAAGAAGAAGUCAACUUUGAUGAAAGAAGAAUUUAUUAGUCAAAUCUAAAUCCAAGUAUUGAUGAGGUAGCUUCAAGCCUAUUCAUGGAAGAAGACAAGGGAUUCACUUUUGCAUUGACAUCAAUUGAGGAAUUUGAUCAUGCAAAACAGGAUGAAGCGUUGAAAGAAGGAUUUGAGAGGAAAAUGCAAGGAAUGCAGUAAAGUCCAAAGUUAUUAAAAGAGCUUUCAUGGUAUAGAAGUAAGAAGAAAUUAGAGAUGGAGUUGUGAAACAAAAACAGGGACAAGCUGAAAUAGAAAAAGUGUAAUAGUACAAGAAGAAAAACAAAAUCCAAGUUGGGAAGACAAGUUAAAAGCGAAAGAUAUUGCUAAGAAGUCAAAAAACCAUAUGAGACGUGGAUAUUUUGAAAUACUGGUCCAUGAAAAGAACAUAAAAAUACAUCACAAUGUAUAAUGGCUAACUACAUUAAUGUUGAAGACUACUAUGAUCAAGACGGACGUGGAGUUCCAAAGCAUGAGAAAGAAAGUGAAGUUAUAGAGAGUCAGUGCUAAGGGAGAGUAUUGAAGAAUAACAUCACCUCCUCUCUACAUCUCCAGAAGCUUCUUCAUUAUU